ACAUCGCCGCCAGCAACCGCCUCGUCACCCUCCUCUCCACCUUGCUGCCGGCCCUCCCAUCCCCUCCUCCCACUUCGCAGCUCCAGAGGCUACCGGAUCUGCUGCAUCCCGCACCCACCCAUCCCAUCUCUCUCUCUCUCUCUCUCUCUCUCCGCAGCUCCUCAUUGCGCCACAUGCGGCGGCUGAUUCCGGCGAUGUCCGGCGAAUCCUACCAUCGCGAAGCACAGCCCGAGGUCCCCUCACACCGCGACGCCCUCCCAUCCGGCUAGAUCCGACGCUCACGGCCACCAAAGCCCAGCCGCGACCUUCCCCCGAUGGCUAGGGUUUCGGGCGUCGUCUCCGGCGCCGGUGGCCAUGUCGUCCUCCUCUCGUCCGAUGUCUAGUCUGAUGGCCAGGUUAUUUAGGUGGAGGGAGUAGCUUACUAAUGCUGGCUUUGACGUCCAGCUCAAAUACUAGAGGGCGUGGACCUGUUGGGGGAAGCACAUACACCUUUGUUUUAGUGAGCACGUAAACAAAUAAUCCACAUUUACUCUUCUAUGUUGUUUCUUUGAUGCUGUUGAUAUGAUUCAAAACACUGAUAAUGACUUCUCUCCACGCCUGUUACUGUACUGAUGGUUGUAUGCUCUUACUAUUCUACACAAUUUGGAUUACUAGCUAAAUACUUGUGCUUUGCUACGGGAUAACAAACAUUCAAUUUCAUGAAUACACUGUUUUUAAAGAUAAAUGUGAUACACUGUUACUUUCCAAUUGUAUUUCCAUACACUGACGUCAUUCUCUUCCUUCGGUUUGAAAAUCUAUUAUGCAACUCCCCAGUUAAAUUCCUUAGUGUCUUGCUUGCCUCUUUGUCUAAAAAUCUCACCAUAAGAUAGUACACAUUUUCUUUGUCAUUUGGUUAUGUGAUUCUCCUCUCAUAGCAUGCAGUUAUUAUAUAUGCACUCGGGUCAGGUCAAUGCAGAGGAGUCAUGUAUACCAGAUUACCAAGUACUUAUCUAUGUACUAAUUUAAAAAAAGUACUUAUCUACUACCGCUGUACAUCAUAGUGAAAAUAAAACUUAAUCCCAAUACCCCACUUUGAUGCAACCUACACCUAAGCUUUAUGUGUGUUCAUGUGCAAAUAUCCAUUUAGUAAAUCUUGUAGCAAGCACAGCGCGCACAUAUACACCGGCAGCGACAAACAAGGACACACUGAUGUAAAGUAGCGACGGCGGUGAAGCGUGCACACACGCAACAGCGGCACCAAGCACAUCAAAUGACCUACACACGUCAUCAAGCAAGCAUGCGGGUGAAACGGUAGUUUGCAUAGUUCAACAGGAGCUCAAGAUAAACAAUGCGGAUGUGAUGAGUUGGGAGAGGAUGGAUGGAUUGCGUUGCCUUGUGGCCGUCGAGGCAUUGUAUCAUGAUUGGAAAUCAGAGGAGGUGUGGGAGGGAGGAGGAGAGAAGGGAUGAUAUAUGCGGCGUGGUUGUUGCGAGGAUUGCAUUAGGAUUUUACAGCGCUGGACUGGCCCACAUAAGUGCAUGCUGGAUGGAGCAAAAGAGGGGAGACGAACGACGACCAACGUGCCAUCACCACCGCAGACUUCUCUUUAACAGUAGAGAUCUCAGGUCAUUGCUGUUGGGAUCUAUUGGAUUCUUCUUGUUGUUAAUAGGUUUCCAAAGAAAAAAAUACUCAAUGCCAUUCAGUGGUUUUCAACGUGCCGGUCUCUACAUUCAUAGUACAUCAUUGGGUUUUUACCUUCAACUAAGACUAUUUCCAUUGUGGUAAUUAUUUAUUUAUUCCUUUAUUGCUUAGAUUAGAUCUAACCAUUUUUAGCCUCCUUUUCUGCUCUUAUUUAACUAUUUAUGUACUCCUAUCUCACCAAUGGUGUACCUAUUGUUGUGUGUAAUUUAAUGUGAGGUGCUGCACUCAUCUAUUCCGGCACUAUCGAGAUGGAGGCCAAUAUCAUGGACCAAAGGAGCUGCGAUUGGAUUUGUACAAGAUAUGGCAGUCUUCGUAGUCAUGUUUCUGAUUUAGAAGAUAUGUGGAUAAUUAUAUGGGUGCGUGGCAAGUAUACUACAAUGAUGACGAUGAUGUUCCGGUUCACGAUGAUGACGAUGCUGGCUGUUUUCAGUUUUAGUUAUGGCAGUUGUUUUCAGUUUUAGUUAAGUUGUAGGGAUGAUGUUCGUCGGUUAAUUUAUAGUUAAAUUGUAGGGAUAUUGAUGGAUGCUUUCAGUUUAAGUUUUGUCAAGAAAAUAUUUAGAUUAUGCAUCACAUUUGGAUGAUAUUCCUCCUGUAAUAUCAACUAUUGUAAUCCAACAGUUUUUUCCAAUAUAUGAUUUCUUCCUCU